UUCUCAAUUUGGCACACCCGCACGAAAGUCGGGGUCGCAAAACCUCCGGUCUAAAGCCCCUUCCCUGGGCACGAUAGCGGGGUUGCCGUC
rnacentral:ncRNA from 1 species